GACGAACGCUGGCGGCGUGCUUAACACAUGCAAGUCGAGCGGUAAGGCCCUUUCGGGGGUACACGAGCGGCGAACGGGUGAGUAACACGUGGGUGACCUGCCCUCAGCUCUGGGAUAAGCCUGGGAAACCGGGUCUAAUACUGGAUAUGACUCCAUGACGCACGUUGUGGGGUGGAAAGCCUUGUGCGGCUGAGGAUGGGCCCGCGGCCUAUCAGCUUGUUGGUGGGGGUGAUGGCCUACCAAGGCGACGACGGGUAGCCGGCCUGAGAGGGCGACCGGCCACACUGGGACUGAGACACGGCCCAGACUCCUACGGGAGGCAGCAGUGGGGAAUCUUGCGCAAUGGGCGAAAGCCUGACGCAGCGACGCCGCGUGAGGGAUGACGGCCU
rnacentral:rRNA from 1 species